rnacentral:rRNA from 1 species
UACAGAGGUCCCAAGCGUUGUUCGGAUUCACUGGGCGUAAGGGGUGCGUAGGUGGUGAGGUAAGUCGGAUGUGAAAUCUCCGAGCUCAACUCGGAAAUGGCAUUGGAAACUACCUUGCUAGAGGGUUGGAGGGGGGACUGGAAUGCUUGGUGUAGCAGUGAAAUGCGUAGAUAUCAAGCGGAACACCAGUGGCGAAGGCGAGUCCCUGGACAACUCCUGACACUGAGGCACGAAAGCUAGGGGAGCAAACAGG